rnacentral:snoRNA from 1 species
CCUCUCUCAGGGUCGCACCUGGAGAGUUUCCAGUCCUCUACCGGUCUCGACGACGGGAGGGAGAGUCAAGCAGAGGCUUAUCCUUUCCAUUCCUAGCUUGGGCAAUGGCUAGCGAGUGGAAGGCCAUCUCCUACAAGU